rnacentral:lncRNA from 1 species
ACCUACAUAGGUGAGGUCUAGCUUGUGCCGCCUAAGUGCCAGUGGUAGCUCCAGCAUUCCCACCCUAGGAAUGAGUCUGACCCUCCAGGCUCCGUAGGCUACUCGAUACGCACGAGCGAAUAUAGGUCGCGUAGGCUAACUCCGGAGUGCCGGCUUGUAGGGAGCGACCCGUACAAGCAUGUGCGAAAGAGCACAAAUGGCAAGCAAGCAUGAUCAUCAUCUCAAGUACCCAAUCAUCAUGUCUCUAACAUGGUAACAGUCACU